rnacentral:rRNA from 1 species
AUUGAACGCUGGCGGAAUGCUUUACACAUGCAAGUCGAACGGCAGCACGGACUUCGGUCUGGUGGCGAGUGGCGAACGGGUGAGUAAUGUAUCGGAACGUGCCCAGUCGUGGGGGAUAACGUAGUGAAAAUUACGCUAAUACCGCAUACGAUCUAUGGAUGAAAGCGGGGGAUCGCAAGACCUCGCGCGAUUGGAGCGGCCGAUAGCAGAUUAGGUAGUUGGUGGGGUAAAGGCCCACCAAGCCAACGACCUGUAUCUGGUCUGAGAGGACGACCAGCCACACUGGAACUGGGACACGGUCCAGACUCCUACGGGAGGCAGCAGUGGGGAAUUUUGGCCAAUGGGCGAAAGCCUGAUCCAGCCAUGCCGCGUGCAGGAUGUAGGCCCUCGGGUUGUAAACUGCUUUUGUACAGAACGAAAAGGUUUCUACUAAUACUAGGAGCUCAUGACGGUACUGUAAGAAUAAGCACCGGCUAACUACGUGCCAGCCGCCGCCGUAA